CAGCAGCCACGGUAAUACGGAGGGUGCAAGCGUUAAUCGGAAUUACUGGGCGUAAAGCGUGCGUAGGCGGUUCGUUAAGUCUGUUGUGAAAGCCCCGGGCUCAACCUGGGAAUGGCAAUGGAUACUGGCGAGCUAGAGUGUGUCAGAGGAUGGUGGAAUUCCCGGUGUAGCGGUGAAAUGCGUAGAGAUCGGGAGGAACACCAGUGGCGAAGGCGGCCAUCUGGGACAACACUGACGCUGAGGCACGAAAGCGUGGGGAGCAAACAGGAUUAGAUACCCCCGUAGUCCCUGUCUCUUAUAA
rnacentral:rRNA from 1 species